CAGGGACCAGAAGCUAUCUCUAUGCCAUGGAGAUGUGAAUUCUCCGUUGGAUAUUGGGUAUCUCCCUUCUCGACCGCAUCACAAAUGACACCAUUCCACAACAGUUUGGUGUGUGACACCAAUUAUAGAGCAGAAGAGAGAAGGCCAACUCCAUUAGCAUGGACAUAUCCAGAGUGCGGCACCUUCCACUGUGGCCAAGACUGCCUACCAAGUUGAAGACAAUGGCCGGCGAUCUUGCGGGUGCCCAAAACAGAGAUGGCAAGACACCAUCAACAAAGAUAUGCAAGUCGCGGGCUGCGCCCUGGAGACACAGCUGACCAUGCAAAGAAUGCGUACUCACAUUUGUGAACCGGUAGGGAAGCUCACCUUUUCCACCUCGCCAUCGAUCACGCUGGGCCUUCGGUGCUGCUCGCGGAGGCAGGAACCCGAAAGGGAAGAAAAGAGGCCGCUGAUCAAAGAGGAAUCGUCAGCAAGCGGUUAUGAAAGCAGAAAUGAAAAGUCUGAGGAAAAUAAGCGACUUGGAAACUGAAUGGAAUCGGCGGAGAAUCAAAGGGCGAGGGUCACAAAGCUAGGGGUGAAAAGGAGGGGAAGAAGGAGACGCUCUGUCAAAAGAGAAAAAUAAGAUCAUCAACAGACUUUCAGCUGCAACAGUGGUGUCGUGUCCCACUCCUCCGCUGACGGCCGGGUCAGGGAAAUCCGAAUCAGGUGUGCCUCUGCAGCUCUGCCAAAGUCCUAGCAAAGUCCUCAGGGCAGGCAGGAGACCAGAAAGUGACUUCAGCAAGAUAUGUUUAGACUUUGCCUGACUCAGAGAAUGCCAGAAAGCAGAUCCUUUAUAUAGGCCAUGGGAUGUGGUUCCAUGACUCAGCACUUAUCCAGGCCUGCCCCUCCCAUCCUUCUGUUGCCUCCGUCUAUCAAGUCUUCUGACGCGAGGGUCACUCCAGUCGGCAGCUGUUGGUAAUUGACCUCCCUCAGGCUCACAUGCUGUGGAGGAGGGGGAGGGGUCUAGUUGCUCCGUUUGCCUGGGCAUGGAGCCAGAGCUGGGGGCUGGAGGUAUUUCUUCCUCUUCAGCCUGUCUGGGCAUGGAGCCAGGGCUGGGGCCGGAAGGCAUACUAGAACAUUUCUCCGUGUUCGGAAGCAGAUAAGAAGACCCCGGCUGAGGUGAGAUUGGAUGAGACACAACAAGCGGACAGCUCCCUGGGAGUCAAACCUGUUUGUUUUUUUGAUCCCAAAGGAAAAUGAACAAGAGAUAACUUUUCACAUUUUCAAACUGGGCAAUUGAAGAAAGCAACUCUAGCAGUGAUAUCCAUUGCCAGCAACAAUAAGGCUCAAAUAUACCACCAAGAAAAUAAAACGAAGUUAUUGUCAAAUAACUUCAGACAAGCACCCCAGGUUAAGAUCCUGAUGUAGAAACCAGGAGACAGUGAGUUCUAGUCCUGCCUUAGGAGUGAAAGCUUGAGCGUAUACAUCUGUUUCCUGCAUAUAUUAACCGCAACUAGAAUUGUAUUUGCAGAAUAAUGGAAAAAUGACGAGAUUCCGUCUGAGGGGAAUGUAAUUAAGAAAAUAUUAGACUGCGCAGAAAUGGAUAGAUUAACGCUCACUAUUAAGGAUAAAGAAGAAACUGAAUAUUUUUUGAUAUGGGAUAUAGUCUAUCAAUGGCUAGGCAAUAGAGCCAGAAGUUAGAAAGGAGGAGAUAUAAGGUUAAUGUGGAGAGUUGUUAAAGAACAUGAUGUUUUAUUAAGAAAAUAAUGGAAUGUGCUGAAAUGAGUAAAUUGACAUUUGAAAUUAGAGAACAGGAAGAUAAACAAUAUUACAAGAUAUGGGAUUUAUUUUAUCAAUGGUUAGAUAAAAAAUAUGUUAAGGAAGUUUGAUAGAGACUUUUACAAUGUAAGAAUUGUUGAAACAUACAAAAUAUAAUGAAAUAUUAUCGGUUCGAUUUAAGAUGAUGAAAUAAAUGAAUGAUAUAAUACAACUAACACAAAAUUUAGAACAUUUUAUAUGAAGUGAGGGAAGAAAUACCUAUAGUUAAACAAAUGAUUAAUUGACCAAAAUAUUUGGAUAUAUAUAUUAGACUGGUAAAAUGUAAAAUCAGAUAAAUUACACAUUAUGAAUAUGGUGAAAUUGCACAAAAGAUCAGUAAUCAACCAACUGACACAUUGUUUGCAUUUGU